rnacentral:lncRNA from 1 species
CUACAUAUUAAUUGUAUUCUACGGAUAAGAAAUCAGUUCCUAAAAAUAUGGAAACAAAAUAUUGAGAAUGUUCACUUUUAUAUUUUUUUUUAAAAUCGAUUUAAAAAAAAAAAAACGAAAAAGAACAAAAAAAGCGACAAAAAAAACCUUGGCAACCUUCUCAUCCUUCCCCAUCACCACACCCAUAAUAACGCAAAGAUAUAUCAGUCUCACCCUAUCAACCCAAGUCCACGUAUUGCUCUCUUCCAAAUGCUUCUUUUUUAUGAUCUGCAAAUUU